GACGAACGCUGGCGGCGUGCUUAACACAUGCAAGUCGAACGGAAAGGCCCUGCUUUUGUGGGGUGCUCGAGUGGCGAACGGGUGAGUAACACGUGAGUAACCUGCCCUUGACUUUGGGAUAACUUCAGGAAACUGGGGCUAAUACCGGAUAGGAGCUCCUGCUGCAUGGUGGGGGUUGGAAAGUUUCGGCGGUUGGGGAUGGACUCGCGGCUUAUCAGCUUGUUGGUGGGGUAGUGGCUUACCAAGGCUUUGACGGGUAGCCGGCCUGAGAGGGUGACCGGCCACAUUGAGACUGAGAUACGGACCAGACUCAUACGGGAGGCAGAAGUGGGGAAUAUUGCACAAUGGGCGGAAGCCUGAGGCAGCAACGCCGCGUGCGGGAUGACGGCCUUCGGGUUGUAAACCGCUUUCGCCUGUGACGAAGCGUGAGUGACGGUAAUGGGUAAAGAAGCACCGGCUAACUACGUG
rnacentral:rRNA from 1 species